UGGAAGACUAGUGAUUUUAUUGUUUGAUAUUCAAUUUAAACAAUAGAUCACUGUCUCCUUU
rnacentral:pre_miRNA from 1 species